UGGGGAAUCUUGCACAAUGGGCGAAAGCCUGAUGCAGCGACGCCGCGUGCGGGAUGAAGGCCUUCGGGUUGUAAACCGCUUUCAGCAGGGACGAGGCCGCAAGGUGACGGUACCUGCAGAAGAAGCCCCGGCUAACUACGUGCCAGCAGCCGCGGUAAUACGUAGGGGGCAAGCGUUAUCCGGAUUCAUUGGGCGUAAAGCGCGCGUAGGCGGUUUGUUAGGUCAGGAGUUAAAUCUGGGGGCUCAACCCCUAUCCGCUCCUGAUACCGGCAGGCUUGAGUCUGGUAGGGGAAGGCGGAAUUCCAAGUGUAGCGGUGAAAUGCGCAGAUAUUUGGAAGAACACCGGUGGCGAAGGCGGCUUUUUGGCCUGCAACUGACACUGAGGCGCGAAAGCGUGGGGAGCAAACAGG
rnacentral:rRNA from 1 species